rnacentral:lncRNA from 1 species
AUGUGUUUUCAGUUUCUAAGCCUUACCAGAAAUGAACCGUAUCUUCAUGGAACCAAAUUAUCCUUCAUAGAAAUGAGAAAAACAUUGUGUAGUCAGCAGGUCACACAGCUGGACGAGUCUGCAGCCUUCAGCCGUGGGCGUGUGCAGAGAAACCAGUCCAGAAUGGAUUCAUCCAAAACUGAACCCGGACCUACAGACUUAGAAGGUCAACAGCUCACACACACAGUAAAACCUACAGCCUCCAGCUGUGAGUCUGUGAAGAGUGAUCGUCCCAACAUCCUCCCUCCAAGCUUUGAACCUGAACCAGGAACCUUCAGACUCACAAGGUCAACAGCUCACAAAAACAGUCAAAUCUACAACCUCCAGCUGUGGGUCUGUGAAGAGUGAUCGGUCCAAACAUCCUCCUCCAAGCUUUGAACCUGAACCAGGACCUUCAGACUCACAGUAAGAACCUGUUUCUACAGAAUAAAGAUUUCAUCUCUCAGAAGGAACAACAGGGUACUCAUCAAGAACAUAAGCUGAUCCAUCCAGGAUUGACAACAAUCUGCUGUGACAAGUAUAGGUCUUAGAGCAAAGGCAGGGGUUUGAAAACAAAAUUAAUAAAGCCUGUUUUAAUUCAGUUAUUACAUUUUGAAGUCUGAGAUGAGUUUUUAAAUGUAAAAUGUUCUUAGAUUUAGAAGUCAAUUUCCAAAAUAUCUCUUAGUUCUUACUAAUUUUUGAUAUUGACAAUUUAGUAAAGAUUACUUUCUUAUCAAACCAAAUGUCUGUGUAUUAUUUAG